rnacentral:rRNA from 1 species
AUUGAACGCUGGCGGCAGGCUCAACACAUGCAAGUCGAGCGAGCGGCGGACGGGGGAGUAAUGUCUGGGAAACGGCCCGAUGGAGGGGGAUCACUACUGGAAACGGUAGCUAAUACCGCAUACCAUCAGAUGUGCCCAGAUGGGAUUAGCUAGUAGGUGGGGUAAUGGCUCAACUAGGCGACGAUCCCUAGCUGGUCUGAGAGGAUGCCCAGCCACACUGGAGCUGCGACACGGUCCGGGCUCCUACGGGAGGCAGCAGUGGGGAAUAUUGCACAAUGGGCGCAAGCCUGAUGCAGCCAUGCCGCGUGUGUGAAGAAGGCCUUCGGGUUGUAACGCACUUUCAGCGAGGAGGCGUUACUCGCAGAAGAAGCACCGGCUAACUCCGUGCCAGCAGCCGCGGUAAUAC